UUGCAACGCUGACUUCUUAGGACACCUUUGGAUUGCCCAUGAAAAUAAAUGUAAGAAAAUAUGAGCAAC
ensembl:snoRNA SNORD58 Small nucleolar RNA SNORD58